UCUGUCAGUGGGUUGAUUUCAUUUGAAGGCAAAUGGUGCCCUCAAAACCUUGAAAGAUCCAUUCGGAUAACCUCCUAUCUGUAUCCAUCCUACUUUCUCUUAAUAUGAGACCAAGAUUGCUGAGGAAAAGCAUCAAACUACACAGUGAAUUUAGGCCAAACACAAUAAGUUACAAGAAUCCCAAGUGAGGAGCCAUGGAUUGUGGGCUACUUAUGUGAAAAGCUAGUUCUUGUUUACAAAUAUAGUCGGAAACCCGUUUUUCUUUAAUAUAGUUUUUAAAUGCAGAUGAGAGGUUCUUUCAUAGCUUCAUUGAAAAGCCUACUAUUCUUACCUCCUUCUAUUUUGCUAAUAGGAGCUUCCUUUGGUAAUCUAAUUCAUAUUUUUUUUCAAAAAUUGUAAAUGUAUCCUUGCUUAGCAUCUUUGUUCUUUGAAGUUCUCAAGUCUACAAGGAUAUAUCUUUCCUGCCUAUAAGCAAUAGUUUCAGGCUUUACUUCAUAUUAAGAAAAAUGUCAUAAGAAGAAGGGGAAAACUUUUUCAUACCAAGUGCGGGUUCAAAUCCAAGUAUAGGUGGUACUUCAACUACUGAUGGAACAUUGGGAUCUAAAAGAAGAAAAUUGACUUCGGUUGUUUGAAAUGAUUUUGAUGAAGUCAUAGAAGAUUGACAAGAUUAUGCUAUUUGUAAACACUAUAAAGGAAAGCUCAAGGCUGAUAGUAAGAAUAAGACAAAAUAUUUACAUGUAUAUGUGGAUAGGUGCAUGAAACAAAGAAAUGUUGAUAUCAAUAAUUAUUAGCAGUGGGGAGAGAAAGUCAUGGAAAAAUUCAAAUUGGUGGUUUCACCUUUGAUCAAGA